UGACUUCCGGUUCUUCAUAUCGCUUGUUCAAUCUGCAUCAACAAAACACUCAAUUUCCUUUCCUUGCUUUGUGUAGCAUAUCUCCCAAUCGAUAUUUUUUGCCAAAUAUCGAAUAUCGGAUGGGCUUGGCUGCCGCUUCGUGCUCGGAAUGGCGAUCCUUGUUACGUUGAGCUAAUUUAUUCAACGAAUGAAGAUUUGAAUUAAUAUGUAAAUAGUACUAAAAUUGUGAAUUAAUUUGAAGUUGGCGCGUUACAUUAUGUACGUAUAAAGAAGCGCAAUCGAUAGUAUCAAUAGUAUCGAGCCAAAACGAUCUGAUUUAUGAUCACUAGAUUUAAGAGAUAUAUACGAAAUAAAACGAACGAGCAAGGAACUACAUCGAGCGGAUUAAGGAAGGUCUGAAUUGUGUAGACGGAUUCCACUGGAAAACUGUUGGAGGGACUUAGCUCGUACAAUAAUUAUACCCGAUACUCAAAAUGAGUAUUGGGGUAUAUUAGAUUUGUGAAUCUCCUUCUCGUCGCCCACAACUCUGGCUCACUCCGCGCUUCCCUGUUGUCUCAAGCCUAAUUUAAAGGCAAUGAAUCAUCGCAAUUUUGUUCAAAAUAUGACAUGGUGCCCGAGCAAAGACAUUGGGACUAGCAGGAAGAAGGAAUAUUAGCCAAAAAGAAGGAAGAGCAGCCUAUAAGAGAUAAACAGACGGAAGACAAUAAGGAGGGAAUGGACAUUGAGUUGCCAGCACCCAAGGAAGUGGAUUCAUCCGACCGUCAGAUAAUAAUGUCGAAGCAAUAAUAACAAAAAAUACUUAUUGGGUUGGCAAUCAAAAGUACAUGUGUACAAUACAUUACAUGUGUUUGUGUAGCCACCGAAAAUUGACUGGUUAUAAUAAUGAUGAUCUGAUCCAGAUUCGGCGAUAUAGUAUUCUUUAUGUUUUAGGCGCUCAUCUGCAGCGACAGGCAAAGGCGACCAGGAAACGUGUGUUAGAGAGAACGAAACUGUUUUCUUUAUUCUGGAGAGAGAGAGAGACAGAGAGAGAGAGAGAUACAGAGAGAGACAGAGAGAGAGAGAGAGAGAGAGAGAGUCAGACACGCUUGAUGAUUUUCAGAAGUUGCUAAACGUAGUAAAGUAAUAUGCUAUUCAACAUUUAUUGAACAACAAAAAUUGGUCAAUUUAACAUAAAAGUGGACUGUUAACUAUUUUUUGUAGGCUUCAAUGGAAACCAAUCGAACUACAAUUUUAGGAGAUGAAUUAUAUAAUAUAGAUUAUAUACAUAGAUAUAGUAUACAUAUUAUGGACAAAUUUCGUAUUUUUCAACUUUGACCUCAAGUCGGCACCUCUAAACGUUGUUGAAUCGGGC